UCGAGGGGCAGCAUGAUUUGUAGCAAUACAGAUUGAUGGCGACCGGCGCACGGGUGAGUAACGCGUAUGCAACUUACCUAUCAGAGGGGGAUAGCCCGGCGAAAGUCGGAUUAAUACCCCAUAAAACAGGGGUCCCGCAUGGGAAUAUUUGUUAAAGAUUCAUCGCUGAUAGAUAGGCAUGCGUUCCAUUAGGCAGUUGGCGGGGUAACGGCCCACCAAACCGACGAUGGAUAGGGGUUCUGAGAGGAAGGUCCCCCACAUUGGUACUGAGACACGGACCAAACUCCUACGGGAGGCAGCAGUGAGGAAUAUUGGUCAAUGGCCGAGAGGCUGAACCAGCCAAGUCGCGUGAAGGAAGAAGGAUCUAUGGUUUGUAAACUUCUUUUAUAGGGGAAUAAAGUGGAGGACGUGUCCUUUUUUGUAUGUACCCUAUGAAUAAGCAUCGGCUAACUCCGUGCCAGCAGCCGCGGUAAUACGGAGGAUGCGAGCGUUAUCCGGAUUUAUUGGGUUUAAAGGGUGCGUAGGUGGUGAUUUAAGUCAGCGGUGAAAGUUUGUGGCUCAACCAUAAAAUUGCCGUUGAAACUGGGUUACUUGAGUGUGUUUGAGGUAGGCGGAAUGCGUGGUGUAGCGGUGAAAUGCAUAGAUAUCACGCAGAACUCCGAUUGCGAAGGCAGCUUACUAAACCAUAACUGACACUGAAGCACGAAAGCG
rnacentral:rRNA from 1 species